rnacentral:rRNA from 1 species
AUGUUGCCGGCCCUGGCAGUGGCUCCUCGCCCCAUCCCUGCUUGGAUGCAUGGUCGAUGUUGUAGAUGCCUCGCUCGUGGGCACCGUGCGGCUGAAUGCAGAGAUCCAUUUCGAUGCUCCCGUUGUUUGGAGAACGGUCACCGUGCACGCGGAUGCCGCAAUCCAUGUCGUCUUCUAAGCUCGUUGUCUUGCCUUGCUGUGCAGCCAUUAGUUAGUACCGUCCAUCGUCCUGCUUCAGCUUCAUGUGAGAGUCCGAUGAAAUCCACGCUCCCAUCUAAGGUGCUUCCUCAUGGGUCUUGGGCGUCUGUCGUCUCUGCUACUGUUGGCUCGACAACCCAGCCUGACGUGAUGUUGCAAGCUGCUCUGGCUGAGCAGACUGCGCUGCUGCAGGGUUGGAUGGCACGGGCUAAGAGCUUUUUGGAGAGAGCAGAGGCUGCUUUGGGAAAGCUCACCCUUGUGUCGACUGUGUUGCCGACCGCUCUGACGUCAUGCCCUCCUGGUGUGGUCGGUGUUGCCUCCACGAAGGAAGGGAGCCAAGAGCUAUAUGGGUGUUUCUCUCCUCGUGUUGGAGAUAUCUCAUCAGCACCAUUGACCUUGUCUCCUGUGUUGCGUACUAGUGAGGGUGAGCCCAUCGCCGUGCCCGAGGCUCCAGUUCUGCAGAUCAUGCCUGACCUACAAGAGCUAUGUUUGUGCCUUGUUUCGCCUUUGUCUGUGGAGCGCGUGGAGGUGGACUCUUCGGUGACCUCGUGUGAGGGGUAUGUUUCGCCUCUGUCAUGUGAGCAACUGGAGGUGCCUGAGUCAGUGUCAGUGGUUCCCGUGGGUGAUGUUGUCAUGCCGGUGGUUUCUGUGGCUGAUAAUGUUGAUGCGGUCUGUAUGUUGGCGCCUGACUCUUGGGAGCCCAGCCAGCCGCUCGCCUUUGUGGACCGCGGAGGUUCCGACGUUGUGGUCACCCACUCGCAGGUGGCCGUUGGGAAGGUGUAUGUGCGUGACAAGGUCGAUGAGAUUCUCUUCGAGUUAGAGGUUCACAGCUUGCUCAAGCGUUUGGAGGCGGCUUGUCCUGGAUCCGGCAAGGCGAUUGUGGAGGAGGCUCUUAUCAAGAGCAAAAGUAAGAAGAGUGGUGGCGCAGGAAAGGCGUCCGCAGCUGCUUGA